rnacentral:rRNA from 1 species
AUGGAUUGGAUGGGGGCAGGUCGGUCUCUCGGAGGGGAAGCAAGUCGAGACGAAGACGGCCUUUCACUCUUCGGGGACUGGCUGGGGUGGAGCUGGAGCUGGAGUGAAGUCAAACACAGCGUGCCGGGGGAGAAUGUCCUUUUCCGAUGCCGCACUGCUUUGUUUGUUUCUCAUGCUUUUGCGAUGCCGCCUGUCUGUGGGGACACCGCACACAAUGCAUGGAGAGGCAGAGAUUUCAUGAUGAUAGAGAAAGCCAACGGCGCGCUUCCUGGCCAAUUUGUUUUUUGGCUAAAUUUUGCUGGUUUUGUACACCUGCUGCAGCUGGCUAAAGGCCAAGAAACCAAAACUUUGCUCGGUCUUUCCAGAGCUGUACCAGCUGGAGGAAACGGAGAAGAAUUCCCGUUUCCAGCGAGCUGGAAGGGUCCGUCCGGGCUGGCCAGGAGAGGCAGUGCGUCUGCGUGCACACGGAAUGGAAGGAUCCACAAGGUUUGA